rnacentral:rRNA from 1 species
CCCAGACUCCUACGGGAGGCAGCAGUGGGGAAUAUUGCACAAUGGGGGGAACCCUGAUGCAGCGACGCCGCGUGGGUGAAGGAGUACUUCGGUACGUAAAGCCCUAUCAGCAGGAAAGAAAAUGACGGUACCUGACUAAGAAGCCCCGGCUAACUACGUGCCAGCAGCCGCGGUAAUACGUAGGGGGCAAGCGUUAUCCGGAUUUACUGGGUGUAAAGGGAGCGUAGACGGCAGUGCAAGUCCGGAGUGAAAGCCCGGGGCUCAACCCUGGGACUGCUCUGGAAACUGUAAAGCUGGAGUGCGGGAGGGGCAGGCGGAAUUCCUGGUGUAGCGGUGAAAUGCGUAGAUAUCAGGAGGAACACCGGCGGCGAAGGCGGCCUGCUGGACCGUAACUGACGUUGAGGCUCGAAAGCGUGGGGAGCAAACAGGAUUAGAUACCCCGGUACGC